rnacentral:lncRNA from 1 species
UACCAAGUUAUUGAAUUGGAUUAAAGUCAUGCUAGUCAAACUGGCACCUACAUCAGUCACACUGAUCAACCUUAAUGGCAUGGAUCAAUUCGAAUCACUUAGUAGUUUAAUCAAGACAUAAUUAACCAAAUUGGUUAGGUAAGUGAGAUCGAUAGGAGAAUCCACUAAGCUUACCUUAGACACCAUCAAAAUGGAUAGGUAAGCUGCUAUCAAUUAAAAAUCAUCGAUCGAAUUGCCAAACUUACCUU